AUUAAGACACCAGUUCCUGCCAGCGCCUCUGGGUCAGGCGACUCCACCAGCCAGGCCGCGUAUGUGCCUACCACCCAGGAACUGCUAGCAGACAUCAGCAGGCUUGAGCUCGACAGGCGUAGCGAGGGCGAUUUGCGGCUCUCGGAUCUGGACGAGCCCGAGCUAUGAGUACACCGCAAUUGGCAGUAGCCCAGGUCAACCUGCACCACGCGGUGGCCGCCUCGGCGGUCAUUGCGAGCAGGUUUGCCACGGAGGACCUGGGCAUUGUACUGAUCCAAGAGCCGUGGACCUACAGAGGCCAGGUCAGGGGCCUAAAUCACAACUGUAAUAAGAGUUUUUAACACAGGAUUUGGUAGCAGUUCAGACGACGCUGUCAAUACACGGCAGAAGCACGGAGGUCGUCUUUGCUGCAGCCUAUUUCGCGGGGGACAACGUCACCGUUCCACCCCUGGAGGUACAGCAGCUGGUGGAAUUCUGUCGGAGGAAAAGGAUUCCGAUCA